rnacentral:rRNA from 1 species
UGCAGGAAGAAUGCCCUAUGGGUUGUAAACUGCUUUUAUUUGGGAAUAAACCUUUCUACGUGUAGGAAGCUGAAGGUACCAAAUGAAUAAGCACCGGCUAACUCCGUGCCAGCAGCCGCGGUAAUACGGAGGGUGCAAGCGUUAUCCGGAAUCAUUGGGUUUAAAGGGUCCGCAGGCGGAUUUAUAAGUCAGUGGUGAAAGCCUACAGCUUAACUGUAGAACUGCCAUUGAUACUGUAAGUCUUGAAUUCGGUCGAAGUGGGCGGAAUGUGUAGUGUAGCGGUGAAAUGCAUAGAUAUUACACAGAACACCGAUAGCGAAGGCAGCUCACUAGGCCUGGAUUGACGCUCAGGGACGAAAGCGUGGGGAUCAAACAGGAUUAGAUACCCUGGUAGUCCACGCUGUAAACGAUGAUUACUCGUUUUCGGCGAUAUACAGUCGGAGACUAAGCGAAAGUGAUAAGUAAUCCACCUGGGGAGUACGGUCGCAAGGUUG